UAACUCUAAUCAUAGAUAUACGACUGUUAGAGGGAUUGGAGACUGGUCACGUGAGCGCAUUACUACUACACUCACCAUCCGCGUUUGUGUUAAGUAUAUUCAUAGUCACGCCUUUUCUUUGACCUUGUGCUAUUUCAAUGGAGGAAGAGCAGAACCAACAGUACAUUUUUGUGGGACUAUUGUAUUAGUUUGGAAGCUUAAUACAGACAGGUCUGCAAAUGGAAGGAUAAAACUGAGGUUUUUGUUUAAAAGAAUCAUGAAUAUAGGAGAUAUGAUGCUUCAAAGGCACUUAUAGAACACAAAUUUUAAUUAUUCUGUCAAUAUCAUUAUCUAUUGUAGUAUUCAAUGCUUAUUUGUAGACCUUAUAGCAUUUGGAGUAGUUUCUUGAAAGGAUCAUGAUAGCUGCCAUUGUGAAGGGGUGUGACUUAAGGCAAACACGGAUGGUAGGCACUAAUUGUGCUAAUUGCCAAGAGUCUCCAAUCCCUCUAACAGUCGUAUAUCUAUGAUUAGAGGUUUCCCACAGGAUUUUGGC